rnacentral:rRNA from 1 species
UACAGAGGUCCCGAGCGUUGUUCGGAUUCACUGGGCGUAAAGGGUGCGCAGGUGGGUUGGCAAGUUUGAUGUGAAAGCCCCGGGCUUAACCCGGGAAUGGCAUUGAAUACUGCUGAUCUGGAGGAUCGGAGGGGGGACUGGAAUUCUUGGUGUAGCAGUGAAAUGCGUAGAUAUCAAGAGGAACACCAGUGGCGAAGGCGGCUCACUGGCCCGGUACUGACGCUGAGGUGCGAAAGCGUGGGGAGCAAACAGG